rnacentral:rRNA from 1 species
GGACACGUGGUAUCCUGUCUGAAUAUGGGGGGACCAUCCUCCAAGGCUAAAUACUCCUGACUGACCGAUAGUGAACCAGUACCGUGAGGGAAAGGCGAAAAGAACCCCGGCGAGGGGAGUGAAAAAGAACCUGAAACCGUGUACGUACAAGCAGUGGGAGCACAGGUUUACCUGUGUGACUGCGUACCUUUUGUAUAAUGGGUCAGCGACUUAUAUUCUGUAGCAAGGUUAACCGAAUAGGGGAGCCGGAGGGAAACCGAGUCUUAAUUGGGCGUUAAGUUGCAGGGUAUAGACCCGAAACCCGGUGAUCUAGCCAUGGGCAGGUUGAAGGUUGGGUAACACUAACUGGAGGACCGAACCGACUAAUGUUGAAAAAUUAGCGGAUGACCUGUGGCUGGGGGUGAAAGGCCAAUCAAACCGGGAGAUAGCUGGUUCUCCCCGAAAGCUAUUUAGGUAGCGCCUCGUGAAUUCAUCUCCGGGGGUAGAGCACUGUUUCGGCUAGGGGGCCAUCCCGGCUUACCAACCCGAUGCAAACUGCGAAUACCGGAGAAUGUUAUCACGGGAGACACACGGCGGGUGCUAACGUCCGUCGUGAAGAGGGAAACAACCCAGACCGCCAGCUAAGGUCCCAAAGUCAUGGUUAAGUGGGAAACGAUGUGGGAAGGCCCAGACAGCCAGGAUGUUGGCUUAGAAGCAGCCAUCAUUUAAAGAAAGCGUAAUAGCUCACUGGUCGAGUCGGCCUGCGCGGAAGAUGUAACGGGGCUAAACCAUGCACCGAAGCUGCGGCAGCGAACGUAUCACCCAAGACAACUUUACGGAGUUGACGAUUGACGGAGCGAAGCGACGUCAAAGCGUUCAUUAAAGUCGAGUUGGCUUAGGGAUACGUUCGUUGGGUAGGGGAGCGUUCUGUAAGCCUGUGAAGGUGUGUCGUGAGGCAUGCUGGAGGUAUCAGAAGUGCGAAUGCUGACAUAAGUAACGAUAAAGCGGGUGAAAAGCCCGCUCGCCGGAAGACCAAGGGUUCCUGUCCAACGUUAAUCGGGGCAGGGUGAGUCGACCCCUAAGGCGAGGCCGAAAGGCGUAGUCGAUGGGAAACGGGUUAAUAUUCCCGUACUUGGUGUUACUGCGAAGGGGGGACGGAGAAGGCUAUGUUGGCCGGGCGACGGUUGUCCCGGUUUAAGCGUGUAGGUGUGUGUUCCAGGUAAAUCCGGUU